UACGUAGGGUGCGAGCGUUACCCGGAUUUACUGGGCGUAAAGGGGGCGUAGGCGGCCGUGAAAGUCCGGUGUGAAAACUCACGGCUCAACCGUGGGACUGCGCUGGAAACUACACGGCUUGAGGACGGUAGAGGGAGACGGAACUGCUGGUGUAGGGGUGAAAUCCGUAGAUAUCAGCAGGAACGCCGGUGGAGAAGUCGGUCUCCUGGGCCGUAACCGACGCUGAGGCACGAAAGCUAGGGGAGCGAACCGG
rnacentral:rRNA from 1 species